CCUCCCCGCCCGAGAAUAGCCUCCACGGGCUGCCACGCCGGCAAUGCUGGCAGGCCUGCUCGCCGUUGUGGACCUCCAAAGGCGCAGCACACGAGGAGGGGCAUCUCGCCGAGUUCCCUUGGCCGGCCAUGGUAUCGCGUGCUGCGUCGAUCUGGCCUCCGACGAUCUCGGGAGGGAGAGGGGGCGGCGGCGGUAUGGAGGUGAGACGGUGAACCCUCACCGGCAAGAGGCCACGGAGAAGGAGGCUACCGUGAUCGCGGCCUCCCCCAACCCCCUGCGUGUUCGGCCGCGUCGUCCUGCUCUAGACAAGAGGAAUCAGCGCGGGGGCCAUGCAGGCAUCGACGACGGCGCGCUGGGCAGGUCGCGGCCGAAGUCGGCCUUGGGGGGAAGCGAGAAUAUGUGUCGGUGGCAAAAGGGACCGCGAUGGUGCUGGUGGCGCCCCUUAUUCUCUCUCCCUGGCCGGGUGCUGCCCCCGGUGAAGGAGCUUGGGGCCCUCCUCUCCUCCAGAGGCGGCUGUGGGCGUGGAUGAGGACCUGGGCGCCCUCCUCUUCUCCCCGACAUGUAUUGGGGAAGAGCUGACGCGGCCAUCCUCGUGGAUAGUGUCGCUGGCGGAGCCGCCGGAUUGAGGUGGGGGCGCUGAAGGUUGCCGCUGCUCCCCCCCCUUCUCUCCUGGCCACCGUCACGCCUGGGUGCACGUCCGAGGUGUCGUCGGCCUCUAGGUCGUGCGCGCGGUAGGUUCGAGCGGGGCCGCCGCCGACGAGCCACGAGCGGUGGGCGUGGAGUUCUCGGUGGAGAGCACGACGGCGACGCGCCACAGCUAGGUGACGUUGAAUUCGCUGCGGCCAACCUCCCGGCAGCUCUUGCUCGCGGCAGUUCCGUCGCACAUCGCAAAGCUCCCUCCUGCCCCUGCUCGCUGCAGAGUUCCUCCGUGCCGCGCGCAGCUCUAGGUCCAUGCUGGACGCCGAGUCCCGCCGCGUCUCCUCUUCGGCUCAACGCCGUCCCUAUUUGCGCCAGAGUCCUGCCAUGCUGCCCGCCCCUGUUCGAUGCUCAAGAUGCCGUGCCCGCGCUCGCCUGGUGAUGCGCGUCCGAGGCGUGGCCGGCCUCCGACCGUCAGGUAUGCCUUCAGAUCCCGUACAGGGAAAUUCCUCUAAUCCUGGCUGUGUCGGCUGAUUCUGCUGCCGAGUCAGCCUCUACGUAUCUUGGCCUGUAGGCCUUUAGAAUUCAUGUGGCAAUCAGAAUACCACUCCUUUUGUAAAUGAAGAUUUUUUUUCACAUUUUUCAGAAAUUUUACAUGUGAUUGAUACACCUGCGUCUGGGUCUGCCAAAGCAAAACUGAACAACAUAAUUUUGUGGCUUUAUUAUUAAACCAUAUCAUAAUUUUGAAAGCUAGAUUGUCAGUUAGUAUUCUGAACCAAGCUAGCCCAACCAACUAAGAGGUAUAGAAACAUUUUAUUUGGUGCUAAAGUUAUGAUCUGACUCCACAAUCUUCAUGCUUACCAUACAUUUUAAUUAGCUCUCUAAAGUAGCUCAUGCCUCAGUAGGCCUACAUUUUAUAUGUUGGAUCCAUAUGGUGCCAGUUAGUCAAUCAGUUAAGUCGUUCGUUUAGGCUAACUGUCGGCUCAAUUUAACAAUUAUCUUAGCUGACUAAUUAUGCUGACUAAUUGAGUGAUUACUUAGAAUUUGGCCUAGAGAUGCAGUGUUCUGUUGAGAGUAUGAGUAGUAGUAAUUAUUGCGCAUAUUUGUGCAUUUGCGCCCUCUACAAUCUCACUUAUAGACUGCAACAGGUUGUGUUCCGAGCAAGCUCAUGGUUGUUUGCACUUGAGAAAAGAUUGUACCGUUGUGUUCAAUUUAAGGGACACUGCAUUUCUAAAUCAACAUUGUCAUAUGUUCCAUGACAGUAAACUAAGCUCCAGUGGCAUGUUCAUACCUAAGCCAAGAAGCUGGCACGACACGGAUUAUACACUGCCAGAUCGCCAGCCCAACUAGACUAAUUUGUACGAGUUCUUUGAGACCUAGACUGUUCUAUUAUGUGAAUUAUGAUUAUGUAUAGCUUCAUAUUCUUGGUUUUCCUUAUUGAGAGUGGCAUGCAGAGAAACAGAAAUUGCAUAUUGGUUCAUGCACUGGGCAGGCUUGCUGCUCCUGGACGACGGCACGGUAGGCUCUUGAUCAAUGGUGAAGUCAGGAACACCUGAUGUUGAAUGGCAGGCAUUAGUGCACUUCAGGUGACACUCAUUGGAUUCUUAGGUUGAAAUUUUUGUUGGUACUCACCCACUCAUCAUGUCCUAACACUAAUGUAUUACCUGAUGUUUUGGCCUAGAAACUGGAUUGAUAAUAAUUCAGUAGUUGUCAUUACUAUACCUGCUAUUUUUUUGCUAAUGUUUAAUAUAGAAAAGGUUGUCGUAGGAGCUUCCAGAUUAUUGUGUUUAUGCCUUCUUUAUUAUAAUCUUGCACAUGGCGGCGUGAUCUUCGAUUGACUUCCAGGGUAAUACUGGAUUGGUCUUGAUUGGGUGUAGAGACCGCUUCACUCUCUCAAUUAGACACAAGGGGCAACACAGCUCUAUGGCAGUCGCAUCAGCAGCAAAAUUAAGUACCAUAUGUCUCUCUCUUUGAAACAAUACACUUUUAAUUCAUGAUGUAAGAUUUUAUGAUGUUUUAGUGUUCAGAUAGUGCUCAUGAAGCAGUCAAAUUAGAGGAAUUAAUCUUAAUUGCUUUAAAAGAUGAUCUAAUUAUUCAUUCCCCUAAUUAGCUCUACAAUGUAGUAAUUUAAUGCUGGAGCCAUUAAGAAAAAUUCAACCCAGUUAGUUGAUUCAUGUGCGUUUGAUCUCAAGUCGAGUGAUCCACUUUUUGUUUAUAUGAAGAUUCUAUGAAGUGCGCUUCAGCAAAUACUUACCAUCCCUACAAGUCGUGUCAACAACUCAUUCUGGAUAUUUGAGAUUGCCACUCUUCUGUAUGGAAAUGAAUCAGCCAUUUGAUUUCUCUGUGUUAGUGCAUAUGUAAAUACUAUCUGGUUUGUGCGAUUGUGUUCUUCUCAUAUCCUCUUUGCAAUAUGUCAGUCAUCUUUCUAAAUAUGUUUACAAAAAUAUUAUAUGCACAUACUACCUCUUCUAUCCAACCAUUUUAAAAUGUCUAUUCUAAGCUAUUACUAACAUGCAGCUAUCAGCAAAACGUACUUAUAUGCUUCAAUGAUAUCAGUUGGCAGUAUGGUUCACACUUUCGAGAGCCCACAUAAAAUUCAAUACUGUUACCGAUUGAACACCAAUUUUGUUAGCUAAAUAUUUUUAUAUAUUUCUUAGCUAGGGCAAAAAAGAAAAGUUUUGGUUACAUUUGUAGUUGUACCCCUAUGUUUCCAGCACUAGGUAAUCUAUUUUGAUUGACGUUGAGAUUCUCCACCUUGACGGAAAGAAGAGACCUCAGAGCGACACUAUAAUCAAACAUACACUUGCUCAUCAUGGAACUACUGCAAGGAAAACAAUGCUAGCCAUUACCUUACAGUCUUGGGCACUCUACAGAAUACCUACCCUGACAGGUUGAUGGCUGCGGCCUAAGAUGCCAAAGGUCUGAACUUCCAAUAGCAACACCAAAGAUUUCUUCAUACAUACACGGUCGACCGCCGGUAUUCUCCAUAUAAAACUUGGAUGUUAGUUCUUGCUCCAUGGGAUGAAAAGAUCAUAGAGGCACUAGGACUCUAGGAGCUGAGAAGAAUCCUCUUUUGCAUCAAUGGGUGUUUUAUCGGUUACUAAAGAAGAUCACGGUGGACCAAGUGAAGAGCACACCAUCCUCUCAUCCAACCAUGAAGAUGACGGCACUGAGGACUGACAACUCAAAGACGUGGGAACACCGACACCACCCAUCCUACUGUGGUACUUGUGCAUCCCUGCUUAGCUUUUCUCGCUAGAAAAGAGCUGUCAUGCAUACUAAAUAGAAUUUAGGAUCUAUGAUAUUUAUGCAAGACAUUUCAUGAACUAUGUAAGCAAGUUCCAGGUAUAGAUUAAUAAGACCGGCUAACCUCCAUUUUCUAAUUGAAUUUGCCCUCUAAGUGUCGCCACUCA